AUUCAGCUGACGAGUCCAAAAUAGGACGAAGCGCACGCCUUGGAC
rnacentral:hammerhead_ribozyme from 1 species